rnacentral:tRNA from 1 species
GGAAGGGUACAGCUCAGUGAUAGAGUGCAUGCCUAGCAUGCACGAGGUCCUGGGUUCAACCCCCAGUCCCUCCA